GACGAACGCUGGCGGCGUGCUUAACACAUGCAAGUCGAACGAAGUGGCGAACGGGUGAGUAACGCGUAAUCAACCUGCCCUUCAGAGGGGGACAACAGUUGGAAACGACUCCUAAUACCGCAUACUGAUGGACGGGUUUGCGUCUGAUUAGCUAGUUGGGGGGGUAACGGCCCACCAAGGCGAUGGUCAGGAGCCGGUCUGAGAGGAUGAACGGCCACAUUGGGACUGGGGCACGGCCCAGACUGCUACGGGAGGCAGCAGUGGGGAAUCUUCGGAAAUGGAGGAAAGUCUGACGGAGCAAAGCCGCGUGAGUGAUGACGGCCUUCGGGUUGUAAAGCUCUGUUAAUCGGGACGCGGUACCGGAAUAGAAAGCCACGGCUAACUACGUGCCAGCAGCCGCGGUAAUAC
rnacentral:rRNA from 1 species